rnacentral:rRNA from 1 species
UCGUGACAGGUAAGCGAAAUCUUAGGAAAGUAGCGAAGCACAUGAUGACGGCUUCCAGGAAAAGCCUCUGGCAAUGCAUAUGCGGCCCGUACCAAAACCGACACAGGUGGGCAGGGAGAGAAUCCCGAGGUGAGCGAGAGAACUGUUGCCAAGGAACUCGGCAAAAUGACUCCGUAAGUUAGCGAGAAGGAGUGCUUAAGCAAUUAAGCCGCAGUGAAGAGGCCCAAGCGACUGUUUAACUAAAACACAGCUCUCUGCGAAGUCGCAAGACGAGGUAUAGGGGGUGACACCUGCCCGGUGCUGGAAGGUUAAGAGGAUCUGUUAAGAGCGAUCUGAAGCAGUGAUCCGAAGCCCCAGUGAACGGCGGCCGUAACUAUAACGGUCCUAAGGUAGCGAAAUUCCUUGUCAGGUAAGAUCUGACCCGCACGAAAGGUGUAACGAUUGGGGCGCUGUCUCGGCAGCAGACUCGGUGAAAUCUUAGUACCUGUGAAAAUGCAGGUUACCCGCAACUAGACGGAAAGACCCCAUGGAGCUUUACUGCAGCCUAAUAUUGAAUUCUGGUCACACAUGUACAGGAUAGGUGGGAGACAAAGAGACGUGCACGCCAGUGUACGAGGAGUCGACGUUGGGAUACCACUCUUGUGUGACUGGGGUUCUAACCUGGUAUCGAGAACAGGUACGGGGAGAGUGUCAGGUGGGCAGUUUGACUGGGGCGGUCGCCUCCCAAAGAGUAACGGAGGCGCCCAAAGGUACGCUCAGAUUGGAUGGAAACCAAUCGUCGAGUGCAAUUGCAGAAGCGUGCUUGACUGUGAGACAGACAAGUCGAACAGGGACGAAAGUCGGGAAUAGUGAUCCGGCGGUGCCGAAUGGAAGGGCCGUCGCUCAACGGAUAAAAGCUACCCUGGGGAUAACAGGCUGAUCUCGCCCAAGAGUUCACAUCGACGGCGAGGUUUGGCACCUCGAUGUCGGCUCAUCGCAUCCUGGAGCUGGAUUCGGUUCCAAGGGUUGGGCUGUCCGCCCAUUAAAGCGGUACGCGAGCUGGGUUCAGAACGUCGUGAGACAGUUCGGUCCCUAUCUGUUGUGGGCGAAGGAGAUCUGCGGAGAGCUGUCCUCAGUACGAGAGGACCGGGAUGGACCUACCGCUGGUGCACCGGUUGUUCCGCCAGGGGCAUAGCCGGGUAGCUAAGUAGGGAAAGGAUAAGCGCUGAAAGCAUCUAAGCACGAAGCCUACUCCAAGAUGAGAUCUCCCAUUCGCAAGAAGUAAGACCCCUUAAAGACGAUAAGGUAGAUAGGCCAGGGAUGGAAGUGCAGUGAUGUACGGAGUUGACUGGUACUAAUCGGUCGAGGACUUAACC